AUUGAACGCUGGCGGCAUGCUUUACACAUGCAAGUCGAACGGCAGCGCGGGCUUCGGCCUGGCGGCGAGUGGCGAACGGGUGAGUAAUACAUCGGAACGUGCCCAGUAGUGGGGGAUAGCUCGGCGAAAGCCGGAUUAAUACCGCAUACGACCUGAGGGUGAAAGCGGGGGAUCUUCGGACCUCGCGCUAUUGGAGCGGCCGAUGGCAGAUUAGCUAUUUGGUGGGGUAAAGGCCUACCAAGGCGACGAUCUGUAGCUGGUCUGAGAGGACGACCAGCCACACUGGGACUGAGACACGGCCCAGACUCCUACGGGAGGCAGCAGUGGGGAAUUUUGGACAAUGGGCGAAAGCCUGAUCCAGCAAUGCCGCGUGUGUGAUGAAGGCCUUCGGGUUGUAAAGCACUUUUGGCGGGAACGAAAAGGACUGUGCCAAUACCACGGUUCGAUGACGGUACCCGCAGAAUAAGCACCGGCUAACUACGUG
rnacentral:rRNA from 1 species